CCAAGCCAAAAUUUAUAUUGAAAUAUAAAUUCAAUUUGAAAUGGGCCUCAUGCAAGGUCAAGAUUGCAUUACCAGUUCUAGAGGUAGAUGGAGAAUGUGAGUAACCCCGGGUCUAUGCUAAGGAAGGGGAAGAAAGAGGAAGAAUUCUUGGCAGCCCUUUUGCUGCUGUGUUCCUAUGCUGAACAGUUCUUCGGACCAGGGACACGACUCACUGUCCUAGAGGAUCUGAGAAAUGUGACUCCACCCAAGGUCUCCCUGUUUGAGCCAUCAGAAGCAGAGAUUGCAGACAAACAAAAGGCUACCCUCGUGUGCUUGGCCAGAGGCUUCUUCCCUGACCACGUGGAGCUGAGCUGGUGGGUGAAUGGGAAGAAGACCCACAGUGGGGUCAGCACAGACCCUCAGGCCUACAAGGAGAGCAAUAACAUCAGCUACUGCCUGAGCAGCCGCCUGAGAGUUUCUGCUACCUUCUGGCACAAUCCUCGCAACCACUUCCGCUGCCAAGUGCAGUUCUAUGGGCUUACAGAGGAAGACACCUGGCUAGAGGCCUCACCCAAACCUGUCACACAGAACAUUAGUGCAGAGGCCUGGGGCCGAGCAGACUGUGGAAUCACCUCAGCAUCCUAUCAUCAGGGGGUUUUGUCUGCCACCAUCCUUUAUGAGAUCCUACUGGGGAAGGCCACCUUAUAUGCCGUGCUGGUCAGUGCUCUGGUGCUGAUGGCCAUGGUCAAGAAAAAAAAUUCCUGAGGCAAACUUUGAUGCAUCCUGAACUGUUCUUCACCCUGGCCAUAGAUUUUUCCUGCACUUUAAUUCCUAUUCCUAAGGACUUGUCUCUUCUUCCUCCAUGGAUAUCCAUCCUUCCUCAUUGACCACUUGACUCUGAAACAGGCUCAAUCAAUAAAAAUAUUGAGUUUAGCCCA